UACGUAGGGUGCGAGCGUUGUCCGGAAUUACUGGGCGUAAAGAGCUCGUAGGUGGUUUGUCGCGUUGUUCGUGAAAACCGGGGGCUUAACCCUCGGCGUGCGGGCGAUACGGGCAGACUUGAGUACUGCAGGGGAGACUGGAAUUCCUGGUGUAGCGGUGAAAUGCGCAGAUAUCAGGAGGAACACCGGUGGCGAAGGCGGUUCUCUGGGCAUUACCUGACGCUGAGGAGCGAAAGUGUGGGGAGCGAACAGG
rnacentral:rRNA from 1 species